AAGCGGCCCAGGGACUGCACGAGGAAGGUGGCCCAGCCCACGUGCAGGACGGGGGUGGGGCUGCCCUCCUCCCAGCGGCAGAUGCCAUCGUAGAAACGAAGGAGGUGGGCGAAGCAUUCGGGGUCCUGAAGGGCUGAGAGACCCCCGGGGCUGGGGGGCGCCUGGGGGGGGGUGGGGGAGGGGGAGGAAAAGGCUCAGGUUGAGAGGAGAGGAGAAGAACCCCCCCCUGAAAUGGGGGAACCCUCCAUAGUUACCCCAAAAUGCGAGACCCCCACCCAAAUAGGGGGGACUUCCGUUGGAAUCACGGGGCCACCUUAAAUGUGGGGCCACCUUAAAUGGGGCUCACCCAUACGGACCCCCGAAGUGUGGGACCCCCAAGUGUGGGGCACCCAGAGAGCUCCCAUGUGGGACCCCAAAAGUGUGGGAUCCCCAAAUGUGGGGCACAGAGACCCCAUGUGGGACCCCCAAAGUGUGGGACCCCCACCCCAAUGGGGGGGAGCUCCAUCGGAAUCACGGGGCCACCUUAAAUGUGGGGCCACCUUAAAUGGGGCUCAUCCAUACGGACCCCCGAAGUGUGGAGCACCCAAAGUGUGGGGCACCCAGAGAGCUCCCAUGUGGGACCCCCAAAUGUGGGUCACAGAGACCCCACGUGGGACCCCCAAAGUGUGGGACCCCCACCCGAAUGGGGGGGGACCUCCAUUGGAAUCGUGGGGCCACCUUAAAUGUGGGGCCACCUUAAAUGGGGCCCACCCAUACGGACCCCCGAAGUGUGGGACCCCCAAGCGUGGGGCACCCAGAGAGCUCCCAUGUGGGACCCCAAAAGUGUGGGACCCCCAAAUGUGGGGCACAGAGACCCCAUGUGAGACCCCCAAAGUGUGGGACCCCCACCCAAAUGGGGGGGACCUCCAUCAGAAUUGUGGAGCCACCUUAAAUGGGGCUCACCCAUAUGGACCCCCAAAAUGUGGGACCCCCAAGUGUGGGGGACCCACAGAGCUCCCCAUACUGACCCCAUAGGACCCCCCCAAGCCCCA
rnacentral:lncRNA from 1 species